rfam:Glomerella graminicola M1.001 genomic scaffold supercont1.1, whole genome shotgun sequence.
GUCUCUGUGGCUCAGUCGGUAGAGCGUUGGUCUCAUAUUACAUCAAUAUGACCGUACCUCUAGGUAGGGAUAUCCAAAGGUCGCAAGUUCGAGCCUUGCCAGGGACA